AGGAUAAACGCUGGCGGCGUGCCUAACACAUGCAAGUCGAACGCGCUUUCGGGCUUCGGUGCGAGAGCGAGUGGCGGACGGGUGAGUAACACAUGGGUACCUGCCUUUCAGUGAGGGAUACCGGCGAGAAAUCGCCGACAAUACCGCAUGGGCUUGUGGGAACACAAGCAAAGUGGCGCAAGCCACGCUGGAAGAUGGGCCUGUGGCCGAUUAGCUAGUUGGGGGGGUAACGGCCUCCCAAGGCGACGAUCGGUAGCUGGUCUGAGAGGACGAUCAGCCACACUGGGAUUGAGAACGGCCCAGACUCCUACGGGGGGCAGCAGUGAGGAAUUUUCCGCAAUGGAGGCAACUCUGACGGAGCAACGCCGCGUGCAGGAGGAAGGUUUUCGGAUCGUAAACUGCUUUUCUCGGGGACGAGCAAGGACGGUACCGAGGAAGAAGCCCCGGCUAACUACGCGCCAGCAGCCGC
rnacentral:rRNA from 1 species